CGGCGGACGGGUGAGUAACGCGUGGGUAACCUGCCUCAUACAGGGGGAUAACAGUUGGAAACGGCUGCUAAUACCGCAUAAGCGCACAGUACCGCAUGGUACGGUGUGAAAAACUCCGGUGGUAUGAGAUGGACCCGCGUCUGAUUAGGUAGUUGGUGGGGUAACGGCCUACCAAGCCGACGAUCAGUAGCCGACCUGAGAGGGUGACCGGCCACAUUGGGACUGAGACACGGCCAA
rnacentral:rRNA from 1 species